UACGGAGGGGGCUAGCGUUGUUCGGAAUUACUGGGCGUAAAGCGUGCGCAGGCGGUUUUGUAAGACAGAGGUGAAAUCCCCGGGCUCAACCUGGGAACUGCCUUUGUGACUGCAAGGCUAGAGUACGGCAGAGGGGGGGUGGAAUUCCGCGUGUAGCAGUGAAAUGCGUAGAUAUGCGGAGGAACACCGAUGGCGAAGGCAACCCCCUGGGCCUGUACUGACGCUCAUGCACGAAAGCGUGGGGAGCAAACAGG
rnacentral:rRNA from 1 species